CAUUCCUUCCCAAAGCCACUAGAAGCAUUCCUUCUAGGAAAGGUGGAGUCGGUGGUGAGAAGCCGGAGGUGAGAAGACCCCUGAGCGGACGGAUUCAUUCAUUUUCUGAAUUUCCUAUGUGAGGACAGUAUUAGAGCUCAGUGAGGCUUUGAGAGGCCCCAAAGAUGAGCGCCAACAGCAGCAGAGUGGGCCAGCUUCUCUUGCAGGGUUCAGCGUGCAUUAGCUGGAAGCAGGAUGUGGAAGGGGCUGUCUACCACCUAGCCAACUGCCUCUUACUCCUGGGCUUCAUGGGGGGCAGUGGGGUGUAUGGAUGCUUCUAUCUUUUUGGCUUCCUGAGUGCAGGUUACCUGUGCUGCGUGCUGUGGGGCUGGUUCAGUGCCUGUGGCCUGGACAUUGUUCUUUGGAGCUUCCUGCUGGCUGUGGUCUGCCUGCUCCAGCUGGCACACCUGGUAUACUGCCUGCGUGAGGACACCCUCUCUGAGGAGUUUGACCUCCUCUACAAGACGCUGUGCCUGCCCUUGCAGGUGCCCCUACAGACAUACAAGGAGAUUGUUCACUGCUGCGAGGAGCAGGUCUUAACUCUGGCCACUGAACAGACCUAUGCUGUGGAGGGUGAGACACCCAUCAACCGCCUGUCCCUGCUGCUCUCUGGCCGGUCACUCUGACUGCUGAGACCUCAUGUAGCUACAUAUCCUGGCCCCGGAAAAGCCUCCAUCUUCUUCUGACCAAAGAGCGAUACAUCUCCUGCCUCUUCUCGGCUCUGCUGGGUUAUGACAUCUCGGAGAAGCUCUACACUCUCAAUGAAAAGCUCUUUGCUAAGUUUGGGCUGCGCUUUGACAUCCGCCUUCCCAGCCUUUACCAUGUCCUGGGUCCCACUGCUGCAGAUGCUGGACCAGAGUCCGAGAAGGGUGAUGAGGAAGUCUGUGAGCCAGCUGUGUCCCCUCCU
rnacentral:sRNA from 1 species